UAUUAUACUGAUACAUAUAGAUAAUCCUAAAUUAUUAAUAGAUAUAGUCUUUAAAUUUGAAGAAUUUGGCGGUGAUUUAGUCUUGUUAGAGGAACCUGUUUUUGAAUCGAUACACCACGUUAAAUUUUACUUGCUUUACUAAGUUUGUAUACCGUCAUUAGCAGAUAAUUUUCAAAGAAUAAAUUAUUAAAUUUUAUAAAUAUAAGUAAACUUAGAUCAAGGUGCAGCUGAUAAGUAAGUUAAAAUGGGUUACAAUAAAAUUUAUUUAUUACGGUAUUAAAUUAUAAGAAACGGUAUUAUGAAGGAGGAUUUAAUUGUAAUGUAAGUUUAAUAAGCUUAUAAGAUAUAAAGCUCUAAAUCAU
rnacentral:rRNA from 1 species